UACGGGGGGAGCAAGCGUUGUUCGGAUUUACUGGGCGUAAAGGGCGCGUAGGCGGCCAGUGCAAGUCAGUUGUGAAAUCUCCGAGCUUAACUCGGAAAGGUCAACUGAUACUGCUCGGCUAGAGUGCGGAAGGGGCAACUGGAAUUCUUGGUGUAGCGGUGAAAUGCGUAGAUAUCAAGAGGAACACCUGCGGCGAAGGCGGGUUGCUGGGCUGACACUGACGCUGAGGCGCGAAAGCUAGGGUAGCAAACGGG
rnacentral:rRNA from 1 species